AAUGAACGUUGGCGGCGUGGAUUAGGCAUGCAAGUCGAGCGAGAAAUCUUCUUUCGAGAGGAUGGAAAGCGGCGAACGGGAGAGUAACGCGUGGAGCACCUGCCCUUGGGUCCGGGACAGCCGCGGGAAACUGCGGGUAAUACCGGAUGACGUCUUCGGACUAAAGGUGUGAUUCCGCCUAAGGAUGGCUCCGCGUCCUAUUAGCUUGUUGGUGAGGUAACGGCUCACCAAGGCGACGAUGGGUACCGGGUGUGAGAGCACGACCCGGCUCACUGGGACUGAGACACUGCCCAGACACCUACGGGUGGCUG
rnacentral:rRNA from 1 species